CCCGAGAGACCGAUAGUGAACGAGUACCGUGAGGGAAAGAUGAAAAAUUCCGAAAAAGGAAAAAAGUACUUUUAUUAUUACUUUUUGCAAAUUAAACGUCUAAAUUUUAUUUGAAGUUUUAAUAACAACUAAAAACAACAAAGUGCCUUUUGCAUAAUGAAUCAGCAAGUUAAUACCAUGCAGUAAGCUUAAAUAAAAAUAUAAAAGCAAUAUCAAGUUGCAUGUAUUAAACCUGAAGCCAAGUGAUCUAACCAUGAACAGGUUGAAAACUUAGUAACAUAUUUUGAAAGACCGAACCCGUAUAUGUAGCAAAAUGUUGGGAAGAUUUGUGGUUAGGGGUGAAAGACUAAUCAAACUUGGUGAUAGCCGGUUUUUCACGAAACGUAUUUAAGUACUACGCUAUCAUAAUAAUUUGUAGGUAUAGUAACAAAAUAAACAAUAGAGUAUAAAAACUUAUUGAGUUUAAUUUAACUUCGAACUAUAAUUUAAUAUUAAAUAGCAGACAGUCUUUGAGCGAUAAGGUCCAAAGACAAAAGGAUAACAAUCCAGAUCGUACAUUAAGAUCUCUAAAUUAUAAUUUAGUGGAGAAGGUUUUUGUUAAUACAAAUAAUUAAAAGUAGGCUUAGAAGCAGCCAUCUAUUGGAAAAAGCGUUUUAGCUUACUAUUCUUUAACAUAAACUCAAAAUAAUCGAGGCUUUAAAUUAUAUAUCGAAAUGUCGAAUUAACAGUUUAAUGGUAGUGAAACGUUUUGUAAUUUACUUAUAGUAAUGUAAACUCUAAAGUAUGUAAUCAAAAACGCUAAUGCUGAUAUAAGUAACGAAAACCAUGUCGUAAUCAUGGUCACCUAUUGCUCAAGGUUUUCAAUGUAAGUUCAACUUCGUUGAGUUGGUCGGUCCUUAAGAAAAAAGUGAACACUUUAAUUAAUAGGAAUUUUUUACCAAUUAUAUACAUCAUCAUGUUGUGUACAAGUUAUCAAUAAAAAUUCUAAAACUAAAAAGGUUACUUUUAGAAUUUUGCCAACUUCAAGAAAAAAUUAUAAUAUACAUGACCGUACCUAAACCGACACAGGAGAGCUUGUUGAGAAUACAAAGGUGGAUGAGAUAAUUAAAUUAAAGGAACUCGGCAAAUUUAUUCUGUAAGUUCGCGAUAAAGAAUACUGAUUUUACUCAGUGAUACAAAAUAAAAGCAACGACUGGUUAUCAAAACCACAGGACUCUGCUAAUUAAUUAAUAACACGUAUAGAGUCUGACACCUGCCCAGUGCCUGAAAGUAACAAGAUUAAGUUAUUUGCUUAAGCUUUAAUCCCAGGUGAACGGCGGUUCUAACUAUAAGAAUCCUUAGGUAGCGAAACUCCUUGACGGGUAAAUUCCGUCCUGCAUGAAUGGUGUUACGAUUGCUUUGCUGUCUCUAAUUUAAACUCAGUGAAAUUACAUAGCUUAUGAAAAUGUAAGCAAUCUACAGUAAGACGGAAAGACCCUAGAUCCUUUACUCUAGUUUUGUAUUGAAAAUAUGAAUAUUUUGUAUAGUAUAAGUGGGAGUAUAAAAAAUACAACAAUGAAAUACCACUCUAAGUAUUAUUUUUAUUUUCUCCAUUUAUUUUUAAUAAUAAAAACAGUAUGAAAUAGUGAGUUUACUUGGGAUGAGUACCUCCUAAAAUGUAACGGAGGUGUACAAAAAUAAGUUUCAGUUAUUUUUAUCAAUAACCGAGCGUAUAAUGACAAUAAACUUGUUUGACAGUUAGAUUGAUAAAUCGUACUGAGACGUAAGUCAGUCAUAGUGAUCCGGUAAUAUUGCGUGGAAAAUUUACCGCUCAACAAAUAAAAGGAACUCUAGGGAUAACAGAUUCAUCAUGGUUGAGAGUUCUUAUUGACACCAUGGUUUGAUACCUCGAUGUCGACUCAUCUUAUCCUGGAAUUGAAGAAGAUUCCAAGGGUCUAGUUGUUCGCUAGUGAAGAAGGUACGUGAGUUGGGUUCAGAACGUCGUGAGACAG
rnacentral:rRNA from 1 species